rnacentral:rRNA from 1 species
AGCGAACGCUGGCGGCAGGCCUAACACAUGCAAGUCGAACGAAGUCUUCGGACUUAGUGGCGGACGGGUGAGUAACACGUGGGAACGUGCCUUUAGGUUCGGAAUAACUCAGGGAAACUUGUGCUAAUACCGAAUGUGCCCUUCGGGGAAAGAUUUAUCGCCUUUAGAGCGGCCCGCGUCUGAUUAGCUAGUUGGGGAGGGAAAGGCUCACCAAGGCGACGAUCAGUAGCUGGUCUGAGAGGAUGAUCAGCCACAUUGGGACUGAGACACGGCCCAAACUCCUACGGGAGGCAGCAGUGGGGAAUCUUGCGCAAUGGGCGAAAGCCUGACGCAGCCAUGCCGCGUGAAUGAUGAAGGUCUUAGGAUUGUAAAAUUCUUUCACCGGGGACGAUAAUGACGGUACCCGGAGAAGAAGCCCCGGCUAACUUCGUGCCAGCCGCCGCGGUAACAC